rnacentral:rRNA from 1 species
AACGAACGCUGGCGGCAGGCUUAACACAUGCAAGUCGAGCGCAUCCUUCGGGGUGAGCGGCAGACGGGCGAGUAACGCGUGGGAACGUACCCUUUCCUACGGAAUAGCUCCGGGAAACUGGAAUUAAUACCGUAUACACCCUUAGGGGGAAAGAUUUAUCGGGGAAGGAUCGGCCCGCGUUGGAUUAGCUAGUUGGUGGGGUAAAGGCCUACCAAGGCGACGAUCCAUAGCUGGUCUGAGAGGAUGAUCAGCCACAUUGGGACUGAGACACGGCCCAAACUCCUACGGGAGGCAGCAGUGGGGAAUAUUGGACAAUGGGCGCAAGCCUGAUCCAGCCAAGCCGCGUGAGUGAUGAAGGCCUUAGGGUUGUAAAGCUCUUUCAGUAGGGAAGAUAAUGACGGUACCUACAGAAGAAGCCCCGGCUAACUUCGUGCCAGCAGCCGCGGUAA